CAGGAGAUGGCCUCGACCAUCGAGCACCAGGACCUGCACCUCCGCCAUCUUCGGCAGCCGCUUGGGAAAAAGCGCUUCUCCCAUUUUUAAAGCUAUGUCCCACGUCUUCUCCAUUUCACCCCAGGUGGAGCUGCAGCCCAGCUGGAGACACAAACGUUCCCAUUUGUAGCUGAGAAGUCCCUGUUUGGUGGAUCAUGGGCUCCUUCCACUGGUUUUGAUCCUUCCACUUCCUGUCUGGUUCCCUUUGAUCCCAGCCUCUCUGACAUCACUGGAGAAAUGCCAGCCUAUGGAAGACAACCUCUGAGUCUCCUGGUGCCAAAACCAAGAACUUACUUGCAUCUACAUGUAAAUCAGAUUUUCCCUUGGGCAGCAUGGAGCAAAUCCCACUGUGAAAAGGUUUCCUCCGUCUUCCUCUUUGUCAGACUGCAUGCUGAGUCACAGGAUGGACCAGAUGUGUUGGUAUGAGAUGAAGUCAGGCCGGGAGACAAGAUGGCAGGCUGAGAACUGGGGCUGGCCCUUCCUGUGCUGUCCAUUCCGGUGUGGUCCUCCAGCCCUUCUGGAUUGUCAUAAAGGACAAGUCCUGAGUUAGCCUACUGAAGGAUGAGAGAAUAUAUGAAGGAGAACUGAGUCACUCCAACUAAGGCCAAACUACAGCAGCAUGCUACAACCUGUCUGUUGUGUGCAGAAUCAUGGGCAAGGUCAGCCAACAUCAAGUGAGCCAAGAAAGUCACCCAGCAAACUUGUAGAUUUGGUAGCAAAAAAUAAAUAUUUAUUUUUAUUUGUCAC
rnacentral:lncRNA from 1 species